UACGAAGGGGGCUAGCGUUGCUCGGAAUCACUGGGCGUAAAGGGCGCGUCGGCGGCGUUUUAAGUCGGGGGUGAAAGCCUGUGGCUCAACCACAGAAUGGCCUUCGAUACUGGGACGCUUGAGUAUGGUAGAGGUUGGUGGAACUGCGAGUGUAGAGGUGAAAUUCGUAGAUAUUCGCAAGAACACCGGUGGCGAAGGCGGCCAACUGGACCAUUACUGACGCUGAGGCGCGAAAGCGUGGGGAGCAAACAGG
rnacentral:rRNA from 1 species